AUAACGCACAUUGAUGCGGUUUCACGAGCCCACCUCCCACCCGUGUUUACCGUAACCGCGUUGCCUCGGCGGGCCCACUGGGGCCUGUCCCCGGUCGCCGGGGGGCAUCUGCCCCCGGGCCCGCGCCCGCCGAAGCGCCCUGGAACCCUGUCUGAAUAGUGAGUCUGAGUGAAUGAUUGAAUCAUUAAAACUUUCAACAACGGAUCUCUUGGUUCCGGCAUCGAUGAAGAACGCAGCGAAAUGCGAUAAUUAAUGUGAAUUGCAGAAUUCCGUGAAUCAUCGAGUUUUUGAACGCACAUUGCGCCCCCUGGCAUUCCGGGGGGCAUGCCUGUCCGAGCGUCAUUUCUGCCCUCCAGCCCGGUGGGUGUUGGGCGCUGUCCCCCCGGGGACACGCCCCAAAGGCAGUGGCGGCGCCGCAUGGGUCCUCGAGCGUAUGGGGCUUUGUCACCCGCUCUGAGGGACUCGUCGGCGCUGGUCUUCCCCCAGGCGGCCCGUCUCGGGCUCGUCUUCUUCCGGUUGACCUCCGAUCAGGUAGGGCUACCCGCUGAACUUAAUCAUAUCCUAACCGGAAGGAAAUCAAUAACCGAGUGAUCCCAACCAUUAAGGGGAGGAGCUUGUAAAAAAUUUGUCUUGCAAUCUGUGGUGGGAGCAUAAACAGGUAGGACGUGCGGAGGGUUUC
rnacentral:rRNA from 1 species